rnacentral:rRNA from 1 species
CCUACGGGUGGCUGCAGUGGGGAAUAUUGCACAAUGGGCGCAAGCCUGAUGCAGCCAUGCCGCGUGUGUGAAGAAGGCCUUCGGGUUGUAAAGCACUUUCAGCGGGGAGGAAGGCGGUGAGGUUAAUAACCUCAUCGAUUGACGUUACCCGCAGAAGAAGCACCGGCUAACUCCGUGCCAGCAGCCGCGGUAAUACGGAGGGUGCAAGCGUUAAUCGGAAUUACUGGGCGUAAAGCGCACGCAGGCGGUCUGUCAAGUCGGAUGUGAAAUCCCCGGGCUCAACCUGGGAACUGCAUUCGAAACUGGCAGGCUAGAGUCUUGUAGAGGGGGGUAGAAUUCCAGGUGUAGCGGUGAAAUGCGUAGAGAUCUGGAGGAAUACCGGUCGCGAAGGCGGCCCCCUGGACAAAGACUGACGCUCAGGUGCGAAAGCGUGGGGAGCAAACAGGAUUAGAUACCCGGGUAGUC